GUCAGGUAUGGUGGCACAUGCCUGUAAUCCUAGUGACUCAGGAGGCUGAGACAGGAGGAUGGCAAGUUUGAGGCCAGUUCAGCAACUUAGUGAGACCCUGUCUUAA
rnacentral:sRNA from 1 species